GCCGGGGUGGUGGAACUGGUAGACACGAAGGACUUAAAAUCCUUUGCUCUUAAUAAAGCGUGCGGGUUCGAGUCCCGCUCCCGGCA
rnacentral:tRNA from 1 species